GACUUCGUGGUGUAGUGGUCAGCACGCUCGACGCGUAACCGAGAGGUCCGUGGUUCGAUUCCCGGCGAAGGUG
rnacentral:tRNA from 1 species